UUCGAGGAUGGGGAUGCUAAUAUGGGGCAGAUAGUAGUGGACCCUCUGCUUGUUCGUUUCCUUCGACCACAUCAAAGAGAAGGGGUUCAAUUCAUGUUUGAUUGUGUUGCGGGCUUAAAUAGUGCUGCAAAUAUACAUGGAUGUAUUCUUGCAGAUGAUAUGGGGUUGGGAAAGACAUUGCAGUCAAUCACAUUACUUUAUA